GGUGAAGACAGAGGGAUCAGAAAGGUACUCCCAGGAUCGGAAUCGAUAAAUCUGAAACUACAACCGUUGGCAACCCCUGAUUGCCGUCACUGCUGACGCGGUCACCCUCCUGAUUCCUGGUGUGACGGA
rnacentral:lncRNA from 1 species